rnacentral:rRNA from 1 species
CCCCUAGAUGUUCUGGGCCGCACGCGCGCUACACUGAACAGUUCAACAAGUCUUAACCUUGGCCGAUAGGUCUGGGUAAUCUUUGAACGCUGUUCGUGAUUGGGAUAGACCUUUGCAAUUAUGGGUCUUCAACGAGGAAUUCCUAGUAAACGCAAGUCAUCAGCUUGCAUUGAUUACGUCCUUGCCCUUUGUACACACCGCCCGUCGCACCUACCGAUUGAAUGGUCCGGUGAAAUCUCGGGACGGCGGCUUGGUCGCUUGCGUCCGACUGCUGAAACUUGAUUAAACCAUAUCAUUUAGAGGAAGGUGAAGUCGUANCA